rnacentral:rRNA from 2 species
UCUGGUGUCAGCCGCCGCGGUAAAACCAGCACCUCAAGUGGUCAGGAUGAUUAUUGGGCCUAAAGCAUCCGUAGCCUGCUUUGUUAGUUUUCGGUUAAAUCCAUACGCUCAACGUAUGGGCUGCCGGGAAUACUGCAAAGCUAGGGAGUGGGAGAGGUAGACGGUACUCGGUAGGAAGGGGUAAAAUCCUUUGAUCUAUUGAUGACCACCUGUGGCGAAGACGGUCUACCAGAACACGUCCGACGGUGAGGGAUGAAAGCUGGGGGAGCAAACCGGAUUAGAUACCCGGGUAGUCCCAGCUGUAAACUAUGCAAACUCGGUGAUGCAUUGGCUUGAUGCCAAUGCAGUGCCGCAGGGAAGCCGUUAAGUUUGCCGCCUGGGAAGUACGUACGCAAGUAUGAAACUUAAAGGAAUUGGCGGGGGAGCACCACAAGGGGUGAAGCCUGCGGUUCAAUUGGAGUCAACGCCAGAAAUCUUACCCGGAGAGACAGCAGAAUGAAGGUCAAGCUGAAGACUUUACCAGACAAGCU